UACGUAGGGUGCGAGCGUUAAUCGGAAUUACUGGGCGUAAAGCGGGCGCAGACGGUUACUUAAGCAGGAUGUGAAAUCCCCGGGCUCAACCUGGGAACUGCGUUCUGAACUGGGUGACUAGAGUGUGUCAGAGGGAGGUAGAAUUCCACGUGUAGCAGUGAAAUGCGUAGAGAUGUGGAGGAAUACCGAUGGCGAAGGCAGCCUCCUGGGAUAACACUGACGUUCAUGCCCGAAAGCGUGGGUAGCAAACAGGAUUAGAUACCCGGGUAGUCC
rnacentral:rRNA from 1 species